AAAAUGCUCCGCAGGGCGCAGCUUGAUACGACCACAGAGGUCGAACCCUGAACAGUUGGGGCAAGUAUGGACACAACAUUCAAGCUUGAUACAGCUCUGAAUUUGGAUUGUGAUUAAAUAUUUGACACAGCAUUGGUUUCUGACACAGAAAGAAUGUGGUCUAAGAACUUGAAUUUUUUUUAAUUUACCUAUUAUGGUCCAAUGUCCAAAAUCAAAAUACAUGGUUAGAUUCAGCAUAUCAAAGAACCCCAUGUAUUCAAUUUUUGUUAAAAUCAAACAAAGUUUAAUUUUGGACCCCAACUUGGACAAACUUGAAAACUGGGCCCAUAAUCAAAAAUUUAAACACAUGUUUAGAUUCAGCAUAUCAAAGAACCACAAGAAUUCAAUUUUUGCUAAAAUCAAACUAAGUUUAAUUUUGGACCCUUUGGACCUUAAUGUAGACCAAUUUAAAAACAGGACUUAAAAUUAAAAAUCUAAAUACACAGUUAAAUUUGGAAUAUCAAAGAACUCCAAUAAUUCAAUUUUUGAUGAAAUCAAACAAAGUUUAAUUUUGGACCCUUUUGACCUCAAUAUGAACCAAUUUGAUAGCGGGGCCCACAAAUAAAAAAUCUAAAUUCAUGGUUAGAUUCAGCAUAUCAAAGAACCCCAUAUAUUCAAUUUUUGUUGAAAUCAAACAAUUUUAAUUUUGGA